rnacentral:rRNA from 1 species
GACGAACGCUGGCGGCGUGCUUAACACAUGCAAGUCGAACGGAAAGGCCCUGCUUUUGUGGGGUGCUCGAGUGGCGAACGGGUGAGUAACACGUGAGUAACCUGCCCUUGACUUUGGGAUAACUUCAGGAAACUGGGGCUAAUACCGGAUAGGAGCUCCUGCUGCAUGGUGGGGGUUGGAAAGUUUCGGCGUUUGGGGAUGGACUCGCGGCUUAUCAGCUUGUUGGUGGGGUAGUGGCUUACCAAGGCUUUGACGGGUGACAGGCCUGAGAGGGUGACCGGCCACAUUGGGACUGAAAUACGGCCCAGACUCCUACGGGAGGCAGCAGUGGGGAAUAUUGCACAAUGGGCGGAAGCCUGAUGCAGCAACGCCGCGUGCGGGAUGACGGCCUUCGGGUUGUAAACCGCUUUCGCCUGUGACGAAGCGUGAGUGACGGUAAUGGGUAAAGAAGCAACGGCUAACUACGUG